rnacentral:misc_RNA from 1 species
AUGAACCUUGAGGGUUGAGCUGGCGUUUAUUCGCAUGUGCUGCCCUCUCAUCCUUUAUACACCUGUGCACUUUUGAAGGGAGACAUUAGUAGACAAUUCACUUGUCGAAGGUAUCUCCCUUUACACUACAUACUCUAAGUGAUUACUUGUUGAAUGUUUAAACGCUUAACAGCAUUUAAUUA